rnacentral:rRNA from 1 species
GAUCCUGGCUCAGGACGAACGCUGGCGGCGUGCCUAACACAUGCAAGUCGAACGAGAAUCUUUGGAAUGAUUCUUUCGGGAUGAAUUCCAAAGAGGAAAGUGGCGGACGGGCGAGUAACGCGUGAGUAACCUGCCCAUAAGAGGGGGAUAAUCCAUGGAAACGUGGACUAAUACCGCAUAUUGUAGUUAAGUUGCAUGACUUGAUUAUGAAAGAUUUAUCGCUUAUGGAUGGACUCGCGUCAG